UACGUAGGGUGCAAGCGUUGUCCGGAAUUAUUGGGCGUAAAGGGCUCGUAGGCGGCGUGUCGCGUCGGGAGUGAAAGACCGGGGCUUAACCCCGGUUCUGCUUCCGGUACGGGCAUGCUGGAGUGUGGCAGGGGAGACUGGAAGUUCCUGGUGUUAGCGGUGGAAUGACGCAGAUAUCAGGAGGAACACCGGUGGCGAAGGCGGGUCUCUGGGCCAUUACUGACGCUGAGGAGCGAAAGCGUGGGGGAGCGAACAGG
rnacentral:rRNA from 1 species